rnacentral:rRNA from 1 species
GAUAAACGCUGGCGGCGUGCCUAACACAUGCAAGUCGAACGAUCCCGCAAGGGAGAGUGGCGGAAGGGUGAGUAACACGUGGGAAUCUACCUCCUCGCAGGGAACAACCUCUCGAAAGAGAGGCUAAUACCCAAAAGGGUCAGAAAUGAUCAGAGUCGAAAGGCGUGAGGAGAGGAGCCCGCGGCCCAUCAGCUAGUUGGUGAGGUAAUGGCUUACCAAGGCUACGACGGGUAGGGGAUCUGAGAGGAUGUCCCCCACACUGGAACUGAAACACGGUCCAGACGCCUACGGGUGGCAGCAGUGAGGAAUAUUGGACAAUGGGCGAAAGCCCGAUCCAGCAACGCCGCGUGGAGGAUGAAGGCCUUCGGGUCGGUAAACUUCUUUAGUAGGGAGACGAGAAAGGACGGUAUCCCUAGAAUAAAGCGACGGGCAAACUAACGUGCCAGCAGCCG